AGCGGAGGGAUCGUUACCGAGUUUACAACUCCCAAACCCAAUGUGAACGUUACCAAACUGUUGCCUCGGCGGGAUCUCUGCCCCGGGUGCGUCGCAGCCCCGGACCAAGGCGCCCGCCGGAGGACCAACCAAAACUCUUAUUGUAUACCCCCUCGCGGGUUUUUUACUAUCUGAGCCAUCUCGGCGCCCCUCGUGGGCGUUUCGAAAAUGAAUCAAAACUUUCAACAACGGAUCUCUUGGUUCUGGCAUCGAUGAAGAACGCAGCGAAAUGCGAUAAGUAAUGUGAAUUGCAGAAUUCAGUGAAUCAUCGAAUCUUUGAACGCACAUUGCGCCCGCCAGUAUUCUGGCGGGCAUGCCUGUCCGAGCGUCAUUUCAACCCUCGAACCCCUCCGGGGGGUCGGCGUUGGGGAUCGGCCCUUUACGGGGCCGGCCCCGAAAUACAGUGGCGGUCUCGCCGCAGCCUCUCCUGCGCAGUAGUUUGCACACUCGCAUCGGGAGCGCGGCGCGUCCACAGCCGUUAAACACCCCAAACUUCUGAAAUGUUGACCUCGGAUCAGGUAGGAAUACCCGCUGAACUUAAGCAUAUCAAUAAGCGGAGGAA
rnacentral:rRNA from 1 species